rnacentral:rRNA from 1 species
UGGCGGCAGGCCUAACACAUGCAAGUCGAACGGUAACAGGAAGCAGCUUGCUUCUUCGCUGACGAGUGGCGGACGGGUGAGUAAUGUCUGGGAAACUGCCUGAUGGAGGGGGAUAACUACUGGAAACGGUAGCUAAUACCGCAUAACGUCGCAAGACCAAAGAGGGGGACCUUCGGGCCUCUUGCCAUCGGAUGUGCCCAGAUGGGAUUAGCUUGUGGUGGGGUAACGGCUCACCAGGCGACGAUCCCUAGCUGGUCUGAGAGGAUGACCAGCCACACUGGAACUGAGACACGGUCCAGACUCCUACGGGAGGCAGCAGUGGGGAAUAUUGCACAAUGGGCGCAAGCCUGAUGCAGCCAUGCCGCGUGUAUGAAGAAGGCCUUCGGGUUGUAAAGUACUUUCAGCGGGGAGGAAGGGAGUAAAGUUAAUACCUUUGCUCAUUGACGUUACCCGCAGAAGAAGCACCGGCUAACUCCGUGCCAGCAGCCGCGGUAAUACGGAGGGUGCAAGCGUUAAUCGGAAUUACUGGGCGUAAAGCGCACGCAGGCGGUUUGUUAAGUCAGAUGUGAAAUCCCCGGGCUCAACCUGGGAACUGCAUCUGAUACUGGCAAGCUUGAGUCUCGUAGAGGGGGGUAGAAUUCCAGGUGUAGCGGUGAAAUGCGUAGAGAUCUGGAGGAAUACCCGGUGGCGAAGGCGGCCCCCUGGACGAAGACU